UACGUAGGGUGCGAGCGUUAAUCGGAAUUACUGGGCGUAAAGCGUGCGCAGGCGGUUCGUGAUGUCUGGUGUGAAAGCCCCGGGCUUAACCUGGGAAUUGCAUUGGAAACUAGCGGGCUGGAGUGUGGCAGAGGAAGAUGGAAUUCCAGGUGUAGCGGUGAAAUGCGUAGAGAUCUGGAGGAACACCGAUGGCGAAGGCAGCCUUCUGGGCCAACACUGACGCUCAUGCACGAAAGCGUGGGGAGCAAACAGG
rnacentral:rRNA from 1 species